UACAGAGGUCUCAAGCGUUGUUCGGAUUCAUUGGGCGUAAAGGGUGCGUAGGCGGCUCGGUAAGUCGGGUGUGAAAUUUCGAGGCUUAACUUCGAAACUGCAUUCGAUACUGCCGUGCUUGAGGACUGGAGAGGAGGCUGGAAUUUACGGUGUAGCGGUGAAAUGCGUAGAUAUCGUAAGGAAGACCAGUGGCGAAGGCGGGUCUCUGGACAGUUCCUGACGCUGAGGCACGAAGGCCAGGGGAGCAAGCGGG
rnacentral:rRNA from 1 species